rnacentral:tRNA from 1 species
GGCGGCAUGGCCAAGUGGUAAGGCGGGGGACUGCAAAUCCUUUAUCCCCAGUUCAAAUCCGGGUGUCGCC